AUUGAACGCUGGCGGAAUGCUUUACACAUGCAAGUCGAACGGUAGAGGGGGCAACCCCUCGAGAGUGGCGAACGGGUGAGUAAUAUAUCGGAACGUGCCCAGUCGUGGGGGAUAGCGUAGCGAAAGUUACGCUAAUACCGCAUACGAUCUAAGGAUGAAAGCGGGGGAUCGCAAGACCUCGCGCGAUUGGAGCGGCCGAUAUCAGAUUAGGUAGUUGGUGGGGUAAAGGCUCACCAAGCCAACGAUCUGUAGCUGGUCUGAGAGGACGACCAGCCACGCUGGAACGGAGACACGGGCCAGACUCCUACGGGAGGCAGCAGUGGGGAAUUUUGGACAAUGGACGCAAGUCUGAUCCAGCCAUUCCGCGUGCAGGAUGAAGGCCCUCGGGUUGUAAACUGCUUUUGUACGGAACGAAAAGGUCUCUCUUAAUACGGGGGGCUCAUGACGGUACCGUAAGAAUAAGCACCGGCUAACUACGUGCCAGCAGCCGCCGUAA
rnacentral:rRNA from 1 species